UACGGGGGAUGCGAGCGUUAUCCGGAUUUAUUGGGUUUAAAGGGUGCGUAGGCGGACUGUCAAGUCAGCGGUAAAAUACGGGGGCUCAACCUCCGCCCGCCGUUGAAACUGACGGUCUUGAGUGGGCGAGAAGUAUGCGGAAUGCGUGGUGUAGCGGUGAAAUGCAUAGAUAUCACGCAGAACUCCGAUUGCGAAGGCGACUUACUGGACUGUAACUGACGUUGAGGCACGAAAGUGUGGGGAGCAAACAGG
rnacentral:rRNA from 1 species